AAAAAUUCCCCGCAGACGAGGUGCGGCUUCCGGUCCUCUUCGCCGCUCGCCGCUGAACCCCGACUAGCCGGCGGAGUCGGGAGCACACGGGAUCCGCGGAGGCGCGAGGACAUGGCCAACUCCUCCGCAUCCUCACGCUUCGGCUUCGCCGCCGCCGCCCCCUUCUCCGACCAAGUGCUCGUGCCCAGGGAGGGCAUCAGGUCUGAAGCUGAAGAGGCCAGGCUGAGAUAUCUGUUGGUUUGCUUUUAUACGCUUGCCCCAAAUCAGCGUGGCUAAGAGAAGGCAGGGCCCAUGAAGUUGCAUUUGCCUUUCUCAGUGAUGGAGAAGUGCAGGCUGCAACGCAGGAUAUAACCAACUCCUCGUGAUCUGUCGCUGCCUUCUCUGAGGUCGGGUUGUGUCUCUAUCGACAUCCACGCCAUCAGCUUUGCGGUUCCCAUCAUCGUGGGAUUCAUGCUGAAGAGAAAGAAGGAUGUGCCAGUGGGCUGUUAGGAUGCUCAAGAGAGUGAAGGAUGAUAACUAGCUAGAUAAUGAAAUCUCCAAGUAUUCUUCACAAGUGUGCUCUUCUUACCCUCUAGCACCAAGUUGAGCCUCCUAGAUUGCUUGGAUUAACACAAGCCAAUGGUUUGUAAACUGCAUCACAAAUCGCUUGGUGAUCUAUACUGGCAAUUGUGUUAUGUCUUAUGUGCAAAUUCUGUCAUACAUGUCGCUAAUCAUAAUCCAUGGUGACAUUUUGCAUCCUCUCUUGGCAGAUGCCGUCGGGAAGUGAGUUGAUGGAGACUCGUCGAGAUUAGUUUUUGUUCUUCUCUUCUUUGAGUGUUGGAGUUUACGUGAUUAUAUAUUUAUGGUUACUUUUCUUGCAGAAUAAAAGAGUCUAAUUUAUUCAUUUGCCGUGUUAUUGGAUUAUUCUGGAACUAUUUUUCAUAUGAAAGAGCAGGAUCAAGAGGAUUUUAAGACAAAGGAGGCUGGCAGGUUGAUUUAGGUGUGUGGGGUUGUGGCCGUAGCAGCUUCCUAAACUACGAUAGAUUAGAAAGAACUUCCAAAAAUUGGCUAGUAGUUGGUUUUCUCAUGUAUAAGUAUAAUGCAUCUUUUGAGAUAUGGGUCCUUUUAUUAUGAAACCAUUUUGAUGUUCCUGCCUAUAUGCUUUAUGUACUUUUAUACUCCUACAUGAUUAGGAAGAGACUAAUGGAUAAAUGAUGAAAAUGUCUUUAUUUCUAAAAUUGUGUUGAUGUUGAUUGUUUUUAUUGCAGUAGAGGGUUAAUCUUGACAGUGGAUGAAUAACUGCAUUUUUGAAUGAUUAUAUGUUUUACUAUUUGACAAUCAGAAUUUGUUAGUUGGCACAGAAUUUAGCAUAAGCUUCUGUUGGUAAUAAUUUUGAUUAUUUUGAACAUUUUAUGGUCUGGCAUUUGUAUACAUAUCUUUGCAAGUUGAUUUCAUGUGGUGGCUAAUUACCUCAAAAAUGUGCAACUGAUAUUACUUUUGAAGAUUCUAGUUUUAAAACAGAAAAUGUCCACUCUCAGUAUCCAUGUGGCAUUGCAUAUUUCUCAGUUGAAUGGUUAAAGGCCAUGGUUGAUGAGAGGAAAGCGGAGCAGGUAAGCUGUCCAGCUGGGUGCAUUUAUGUUGAUGGACGCAUUGAAUUAGAGCCUGGACGCUUGGUAUUGCAGCACAAUUAUUGAAGUAGAGCUUGGUAUUGAUAAAAAAAAGUUUGAAUCUCCUGGUUUUCCAAUGAGAUACUAGAAAAUUUCGAGAUUCGGUACUGGAAGUUUCUUUAAAGUUUGUGUUAUUACUUGAUACAAAUAGUCCUAUAUGUCUCCACAUUUUUUUUCUGGUCAGACUGCUUAUGCAUGCCAAAUGCUUGGCUUACAUUCUUCGUGAUAACUAUUUUGAUAUGAAUUGACGCGGAUGUUUCUUGGAAGCAUGUUAAUAUUUUAGGCCUGCAUAAAACAAUUUUAAUCUGUGUCUCUUAACAAGUGAUAAACCUUACGUUUUUAAAACUUUGCCUGAGUUGCUGAAUAAACUAAUGUGAAGAAGCCCAGCUGUUCAACGGUACAGCUAGUUAAUGGGGGCAGUAGCUACAGUGUGUGAUAUGACAAGACGAACAUAGUAGUAAUGGCCAGUGGGCCAGUUCAUGUACUCACACGAAUUAUUGCUACUUGACUGGAAGGCUUCGUGGACACCAUACUGGAGUGGACAGAGCCAUAACGAUAGCCACAGCCUGCAGUGCAUUUUUCAGAGGAGGGGGGCGGCUCCAGUAUGCUCCGAUUGGAUCUGAUCUGUUCUUGCAGCACUGAUGAUUGAAGUGAUCCUAUUCAUGCUAAGUUGCUAACGCAGAUCUCCCCUUGCAGCACUCUCAUCGGUCUGUACCCAGAGCAAGUUUCGUCUUGAUCGCUUGUGUUCGUCCUUCCUUUCCUGAUGGUCCCCUUGCAGAACUCUGAUCAGUUUACCCCACUCAUCACCACCGAUUGAUGUGGUUCUGUAUAGGCAGGAACUGGUGUAGAAGCAGCAAUCACAUUCUCUUUCCUCUGUUUUCCUUUUAGCAUUGUGAGAUUUUAAGAAUAGCAAUUGGAUGACCAUUGGAGCAAAUUGCGUCUUCAAGAUGAGCACUAUUGGUUCUUACUAUCAGUGGGUUUUCCUUGUUGGAAGAGUGGUUUGUAAGCCUUCAGUUUCCGUUCACUGAAACAAAUCACCUGGGUGUUUUUGGUGGAUCUCCCUUACCGAGUUUGUCUGAUCCACGGCGGCCAUACUUGAAUCUUUGCUUGGAUCAUGUGCCAGUAAGUUGCAAAAUAUCAUUACAGAUGAGGCCAUACUAAUCCUUGGGGUGGAAGAAGAUCUCAGAGAAGUCCUGCAGCGAGUAGAACUAAUACAAUG